rnacentral:lncRNA from 1 species
AUGUGCUCCCAGGCUCAGACCCACCAGAUGCUCAUUUUUUUUUUUUUGAAGUCCAAGUUCAGCAUGGAUACACUGAUGGGCCCCUGCAGAACUACUCUUUUUGGAGGCAGAGGGACUCCACGUGGGAUCUUUUGCAAAUGCUUUGCUCAUCUUCCUCCCCGCAUUCUAUUGAUCCAGAUUCUGUGUAACAAAUGGUCUGGUUUCCUAACCACCUUGGAAACGUCAGAUGCUGCCCAUCCGUCAUCGCGGGCAGAGAGUAUCCAUCAUGGGCCGAGCGGGAUCGUUUCCACAGCUGUCAGGGAGUGGACACAGCAAAGGUGCCCGUGGUGGCUGGACAGAGUUGUCCAGGCCUGA